rnacentral:rRNA from 1 species
GAUGAACGCUGACAGAAUGCUUAACACAUGCAAGUCUUUGGCGAAUCUGUGCUUGCACAGGCUAGCCAAGGCGGACGGGUGAGUAACGCGUAAAGAACUUGCCCUGCAGACAGGGAUAACAGACGGAAACGACUGAUAACACCUGAUACAAUUGCCGGCACGCAUGUGCCUGGCAAUGAAAAGAGAUGCUGCGGGAGAGCUUUGCGUCCUAUUAGCUUGUUGGUGAGGUAACGGCUCACCAAGGCGAUGAUAGGUAGCCGGCCUGAGAGGGUGUACGGCCACAAGGGGACUGAGAUACGGCCCUUACUCCUACGGGAGGCAGCAGUGGGGAAUAUUGGACAAUGGGGGCAACCCUGAUCCAGCAAUUCUGUGUGCACGAAGAAGGUUUUCGGAUUGUAAAGUGCUUUCAGCAGGGAAGAAG